AUGCAAGUCGAGCGGUAACAUUUCUAGCUUGCUAGAAGAUGACGAGCGGCGGACGGGUGAGUAAUGCUUGGGAAUAUGCCUUAUGGUGGGGGACAACAGUUGGAAACGACUGCUAAUACCGCAUAACGUCUACGGACCAAAGGGGGGGAUCUUCGGACCUCUCGCCAUUUGAUUAGCCCAAGUGAGAUUAGCUAGUUGGUGAGGUAAAGGCUCACCAAGGCGACGAUCUCUAGCUGGUUUGAGAGGAUGAUCAGCCACACUGGGACUGAGACACGGCCCAGACUCCUACGGGAGGCAGCAGUGGGGAAUAUUGCACAAUGGGCGAAAGCCUGAUGCAGCCAUGCCGCGUGUGUGAAGAAGGCCUUCGGGUUGUAAAGCACUUUCAGUUGUGAGGAAAGGGGUGUAGUUAAUAACUGCAUUCUGUGACGUUAACAACAGAAGAAGCACCGGCUAACUUCGUGCCAGCAGCCGCGGUAAUACGAGGGGUGCAAGCGUUAAUCGGAAUUACUGGGCGUAAAGCGUACGUAGGCGGUUUGUUAAGCAAGAUGUGAAAGCCCAGGGCUCAACCUUGGAACUGCAUUUUGAACUGGCAAACUAGAGUACUGUAGAGGGUGGUGGAAUUUCCAGUGUAGCGGUGAAAUGCGUAGAGAUUGGAAGGAACAUCAGUGGCGAAGGCGGCCACCUGGACAGAUACUGACGCUGAGGUACGAAAGCGUGGGGAGCAAACAGGAUUAGAUACCCUGGUAGUCCACGCCGUAAACGAUGUCAACUAGCCGUUUGUGUCCUUGAGACGUGAGUGGCGCAGCUAACGCACUAAGUUGACCGCCUGGGGAGUACGGCCGCAAGGUUAAAACUCAAAUGAAUUGACGGGGGCUCGCACAAGCGGUGAGCAUGUGGUUUAAUUCGAUGCAACGCGAAGAACCUUACCAUCCCUUGACAUCCAGAGAAGCGACUAGAGAUAGACGUGUGCCUUCGGGACUCUGUGACAGGUGCUGCAUGACUGUCGUCAGCUCGUGUGUGAAAUGUGGAUAGUCCCGCACGAGCGCAUCCUAUCCUAUUUGCAGCGCGUAUGCGACUCUAGGAGACUGCCGUGAUAACCGAGAGUGGGACGACGUCAAGUCAUCAUGCUACGGGAUGCUACACACGUGCUACAAUGCAGGUACGAAGGGCACCAUAUCCAGUUACGAAUUCUAAAGCUGUUGUAAUCCGCCAU
rnacentral:rRNA from 1 species